AGGAGCAGGAGCGGCGUGAGCAGGAGGCGCGGGAGCAGGAGAGGAGGCGGCAACAGGAGCAGGAGCGGCGGCUGGAGAGGCAACGCGAGCUGGAAUGGCAGAAGGAGGAAGAGCGCUUAAAGGAGCUGGAACGCAAGGAGGCUGCUAAGCAGGAGCUGGAGCGUCAGAGGAAGAUGGAGUGGGAGCGGAGGAGGCGACAGGAGCUGCUGAAUCAGAGGAACCAAGAACAAGAGGACAUCAUCAAGCUUAAGGCCAAGAAGAGGAGCUUGGAGCUGGAGCUGGAGGCUGUGAGAGACAAGCACAAGCAGAUCUCUGACCGACUCAGGGACGUCCAGAGCAAGAGGAGCAUCCAGAAGGGAG